GCUAGGUGAAGCGGCGUACCCCUGUAAUCCCAGUGUCUAGAGAGGCUGAGGCAGGAGGAUUGUGAGUUCAAAGCUAGCCUCAGCAAAAGCGAGGCACUUAGCAACUCAGUGAAACCCUGUCUCUA
rnacentral:sRNA from 1 species